UGAGUUGGCUGGGCGGCCCCGGCUCGCGUAGGGCUUGUGUGGAUUCACGAGGUUCAGCGUCGAGUCGAGGAAAGUCCGGACUUCACAGAGCAGGGUGAUUGCUAACGGCAAUCCGAGGUGACUCGCGGGAAAGUGCCACAGAAAACAGACCGCCAUCCUCGUGGUGGCAAGGGUGAAACGGUGCGGUAAGAGCGCACCAGCAUUCCGGGUGACCGGGGUGGCUAGGCAAACCCCACCCGAAGCAAGGCCAAGAAG
rnacentral:RNase_P_RNA from 1 species